UACGGGGGGGGCAAGCGUUGUUCGGAAUUACUGGGCGUAAAGGGCUCGUAGGCGGCCAACUAAGUCAUACGUGAAAUCCCUCGGCUUAACCGGGGAACUGCGUCUGAUACUGGAUGGCUUGAGUUCGGGAGAGGGAUGCGGAAUUCCAGGUGUAGCGGUGAAAUGCGUAGAUAUCGAGAGGAACACCAGUGGCGAAGGCGAGUCUCUGGACGAGUCCUGACACUGAGGCACGAAAGCCAGGGGAGCAAACGGG
rnacentral:rRNA from 1 species